rnacentral:rRNA from 1 species
UAACACUAACUGGAGGACCGAACCGACUAAUGUUGAAAAAUUAGCGGAUGACCUGUGGCUGGGGGUGAAAGGCCAAUCAAACCGGGAGAUAGCUGGUUCUCCCCGAAAGCUAUUUAGGUAGCGCCUCGUGAAUUCAUCUCCGGGGGUAGAGCACUGUUUCGGCUAGGGGGCCAUCCCGGCUUACCAACCCGAUGCAAACUGCGAAUACCGGAGAAUGUUAUCACGGGAGACACACGGCGGGUGCUAACGUCCGUCGUGAAGAGGGAAACAACCCAGACCGCCAGCUAAGGUCCCAAAGUCAUGGUUAAGUGGGAAACGAUGUGGGAAGGCCCAGACAGCCAGGAUGUUGGCUUAGAAGCAGCCAUCAUUUAAAGAAAGCGUAAUAGCUCACUGGUCGAGUCGGCCUGCGCGGAAGAUGUAACGGGGCUAAACCAUGCACCGAAGCUGCGGCAGCGAACGUAUCACCCAAGACAACUUUACGGAGUUGACGAUUGACGGAGCGAAGCGACGUCAAAGCGUUCAUUAAAGUCGAGUUGGCUUAGGGAUACGUUCGUUGGGUAGGGGAGCGUUCUGUAAGCCUGUGAAGGUGUGUCGUGAGGCAUGCUGGAGGUAUCAGAAGUGCGAAUGCUGACAUAAGUAACGAUAAAGCGGGUGAAAAGCCCGCUCGCCGGAAGACCAAGGGUUCCUGUCCAACGUUAAUCGGGGCAGGGUGAGUCGACCCCUAAGGCGAGGCCGAAAGGCGUAGU